AUUGAACGCUGGCGGCAGGCCUAACACAUGCAAGUCGAACGGUAACAGGAAGAAGCUUGCUUCUUUGCUGACGAGUGGCGGACGGGUGAGUAAUGUCUGGGAAACUGCCUGAUGGAGGGGGAUAACUACUGGAAACGGUAGCUAAUACCGCAUAACGUCCCAAGACCAAAGAGGGGGACCUUCGGGCCUCUUGCCCUCGGAUGUGCCCAGAUGGGAUUAGCUAGUAGGUGGGGUAACGGCUCACCUCGGCGACGAUCCCUAGCUGGUCUGAGAGGAUGACCAGCCACACUGGAACUGAGACACGGUCCAGACUCCUACGGGAGGCAGCAGUGGGGAAUAUUGCACAAUGGGCGCAAGCCUGAUGCAGCCAUGCCGCGUGUAUGAAGAAGGCCUUCGGGUUGUAAAGUACUUUCAGCGGGGAGGAAGGGAGUAAAGUUAAUACCUUUGCUCAUUGACGUUACCCGCAGAAGAAGCACCGGCUAACUCCGUG
rnacentral:rRNA from 1 species